rnacentral:rRNA from 1 species
UACGGAGGGUGCGAGCGUUAAUCGGAAUUACUGGGCGUAAAGCGUGCGUAGGCGGCCUGCCAAGCCAGGUGUGGAAGCCCCGGGCUCAACCUGGGAACGGCACUUGGAACUGGCAAGCUGGAGUUGGGUAGAGGGGAGUGGAAUUCCGGGUGUAGCGGUGAAAUGCGUAGAUAUCCGGAGGAACACCAGUGGCGAAGGCGGCUCCCUGGACCCGAACUGACGCUGAGGCACGAAAGCGUGGGUAGCAAACAGG